rnacentral:rRNA from 1 species
AUGCACGCUGGCGGCGUGCCUAAUCCAUGCAAGUCGAGCGAACAGACGAGGAGCUUGCUCCUCUAACGUUAGCGGCGGACGGGUGAGUAACACGUGGAUAACCUACCUAUAAGACUGGGAUAACUUCGGGAAACCGGAGCUAAUACCGGAUAAUAUAUUGAACCGCAUGGUUCAAUAGUGAAAGACGGUUUUGCUGUCACUUAUAGAUGGAUCCGCGCCGCAUUAGCUAGUUGGUAAGGUAACAGCUUACCAAGGCAACGAUGCGUAGCCGACCUGAGAGGGUGAUCGGCCACACUGGAACUGAGACACGGUCCAGACUCCUACGGGAGGCAGCAGUAGGGAAUCUUCCGCAAUGGGCGAAAGCCUGACGGAGCAACGCCGCGUGAGUGAUGAAGGUCUUCGGAUCGUAAAACUCUGUUAUUAGGGAAGAACAAAUGUGUAAGUAACUAUGCACGUCUUGACGGUACCUAAUCAGAAAGCCACGGCUAACUACGUG